rnacentral:rRNA from 1 species
UACGGGGGGGACAAGCGUUGUUCGGAUUUACUGGGCGUAAAGGGCGCGUAGGCGGACUUUCAAGUCGGAUGUGAAAUCUCUGGGCUCAACUCAGAGCGUGCAUCCGAUACUGUUGGUCUUGAGUAUAUCAGAGGAAAGCGGAAUUCCAGGUGUAGCGGUGAAAUGCGUAGAUAUCUGGAAGAACACCAGUAGCGAAGGCGGCUUUCUGGGGUAAUACUGACGCUGAAGCGCGAAGGCUAGGGGAGCAAACAGG